CCCACACUCAGGGUGAGAGGGAGAUUCUGAAGCUUUGUGUUUCUUGCUAGCUAGUCAAAGGUGACUAAUUCAUGUGGAUAGAAAAAUAAUACAUGCCAAAAGAAAUUUGAGGAACAAAUUCAGCCCUGAGACAGGUCACGGAAACAGCCCUCCAGUCUUCCUCAAGAAAUGUAGACUGAAUCAGCAUUUACCCACCCCUGGAAAAACGCAGGAGCUGCGCAUUCCUGGGAUCUCAGCAGGGCUUUUGGGAAGAGCAGAACUGGGCUGGAGUCACGGUUUCUGGGCUGACUCUAGAUUUUCCCCGGCUUUUGCCACCUGUGAUGGCUGGAGAGUAUCUGAAGAUGACAGCCAGUGUCCUUAGCUUGUGAAGAUUGGAUGAUGGCCGGGGCCCUCAGACCCCUUGGCCCCUCCUUAACUGCAGGUCUUCAAAAGCCCAACACCUGUUCGUCAUUUCUGUGGCUUCCCAGGGAGUCUUACUCUUCUGCUUCAAGCUGCUGGGUUUGACUCUGAGCAGUUUCUGUGCAGCCACAAAGAUUCUUAUGUGAGACACACUGCUGCUUCAGAGUGCUCCAACCCAUCUCCCCUGAUUAAACACUAACCAGGGCUGCCACAGCAAAGUGGCUCAAAUGGGUGACGUCAACAACAGAUUUACUUUCUCAUAGUUCUGGAGGCAGGUGUCUAGGAUCAAGGUGGUGGCAAGGCUAUUCCUUCUGUUGCCUCCCUCCUUGCCUUGUGGAUGACCGUCUUCUCCGCGUCUUUCCAAGAUCUCUCCUCUGUGCAUGUCAGUGUCCUUGCUUCCUCUUCUUAUGAAGACACCGGUCAUGUUGGAAUGCAACAGAAGAGAGUGCACGGCUUCUGAGGUUGCAGCUUUUGGGAGAAGCCAUCUACCAUUGAUGACAGACAUGCCGUGUGGAAACCAAACCAGCCAUGUGGAGAGGCUACCUGGACAGAGGCACAGGGCCAGCAGCAGCUGUGGAGACAGACAUGUGAGCAAAGAAAUCAUCUUUGAUGUACAGCCAAGUUGAGCCUUCAGAUGACUCCGAUUUCAGCCACCUUUGGACUGCAACCACAUGAAAGACUCUAAAUAGAAGCCUCCCAGCUGAUCCCGGUUAACCCACAGUGCUGAAGGGGAUAAUAAUAAAUUGU
rnacentral:lncRNA from 1 species